ACAUACAUAUUUAUAAAUACUUCUUGCACUGCUUGCCUCGCUGUAUGAAACACUUAGGUAAUCGUGACCAUGGGUUGACUGGAAGAAAUCUCUUUCAGAGAUAAGGCCACCUUUGAAAUAAAC